GACGAACGCUGGCGGCGUGCCUAAUACAUGCAAGUCGAGCGGACGGAUGGGAGCUUGCUCCCAGACCGUCAGCGGCGGACGGGUGAGUAACACGUGGGCAACCUGCCUGUAAGACUGGGAUAACUCCGGGAAACCGGGGCUAAUACCGGAUAACUCUUUCCCUCACAUGAGGGAAAGCUGAAAGAUGGCAUCUCGCUAUCACUUUCAGAUGGGCCCGCGGCGCAUUAGCUAGUUGGUGAGGUAACGGCUCACCAAGGCGACGAUGCGUAGCCGACCUGAGAGGGUGAUCGGCCACACUGGGACUGAGACACGGCCCAGACUCCUACGGGAGGCAGCAGUAGGGAAUCUUCCGCAAUGGACGAAAGUCUGACGGAGCAACGCCGCGUGAGUGAUGAAGGUUUUCGGAUCGUAAAACUCUGUUGUCAGGGAAGAACAAGUACCGGAGUAACUGCCGGUACCUUGACGGUACCUGAACAGAAAGCCACGGCUAACUACGUG
rnacentral:rRNA from 1 species